CAGCCGCCGCGGUAAUACGGAGGGGGCUAGCGUUGUUCGGAAUUACUGGGCGUAAAGCGCACGUAGGCGGCUUGGUAAGUUAGAGGUGAAAGCCCGGAGCUCAACUCCGGGAUUGCCUUUAAGACUGCCGAGCUAGCAGGUGAGAGAGGUAAGUGGAAUUCCGAGUGUAGAGGUGAAAUUCGUAGAUAUUCGGAAGAACACCAGUGGCGAAGGCGGCUUACUGGCUCAUACUGGACGCUGAGGUGCGAAAGCGUGGGGAGCAAACAGGAUUAGAUACCCCAGUAGUCCCUGUCUCUUAUAC
rnacentral:rRNA from 1 species